UUGCUAUUAUUCAUAUCUACAGUUGCCUCCAAACGCACCCCACACAAAUUACACCGCCACUAAACGCACCACAUACAGAUUCGUAUUACAUAGCAAACCACGACCACCAUAGCCACAACCCAAAACAGCUAUCCAAACAAACGGCUCCCAAAAUAGCUAAGGCACCACAACCUAAACAGGCAAUGCAUAAACAAAAACACUCAGUAUCCAGACCAAUAAUGCCAGAACCACUAUACCCUACACAAUAUUGCAGAUUUGCACCAUCGACACCGUGCAGAUUUGUGCCAUCACCACCACACUACAACCCAGAAUCGUACGACAACCUUGUGUAGAUUAAACAUCGAACGCCAUCACCGCAUCACCAUCGUACUGAUCCACACCACCGCAACGAGGUUAAAUAUCGAUCCACAAUGAAAAGCCCUCGUUGGGUGUUCUACCAUCGAGUGUAAAAGAGGAAGAUAGUGGUUGGCCUUCGAUGACGGUGGUCAGAUGAGUUUGUAGAGAGAGAGAGAGAGAGAUUGGAGGAAGGUUAAGAAAUU
rnacentral:lncRNA from 1 species